CGGGAUGUGGCGCAGCUUGGUAGCGCACCUGCUUUGGGAGCAGGGGGCCGCAGGUUCGAAUCCUGUCAUCCCGACCA
rnacentral:tRNA from 2 species